rnacentral:rRNA from 1 species
GACGAACGCUGGCGGCGUGCUUAACACAUGCAAGUCGAACGGAAAGGCCCUGCUUUUGUGGGGUGCUCGAGUGGCGAACGGGUGAGUAACACGUGAGUAACCUGCCCUUGACUUUGGGAUAACUUCAGGAAACUGGGGCUAAUACCGGAUAGGAGCUCCUGCUGCAUGGUGGGGGUUGGAAAGUUUCGGCGGUUGGGGAUGGACUCGCGGCUUAUCAGCUUGUUGGUGGGGUAGUGGCUUACCAAGGCUUUGACGGGUAGCCAGCCUGAGAGGGUGACCGGCCACAUUGGGACUGAGAUACGGCCCAGACUCCUACGGGAGGCAGCAGUGGGGAAUAUUGCACAAUGGGCGGAAGCCUGAUGCAGCAACGCCGUGUGCGGGAUGACGGCCUUCGGGUUGUAAACCGCUUUCGCUCAUGACGAAGCUUUGUGUGACGGUAGUGGGUAAAGAAGCACCGGCUAACUACGUG